UUCUGCUUUCAGCUGCUGAGGCAGGAGCAUGUGAUGUCCUGCAUGACCUCAAGGCAGUGGGAGGUUGGAGCAAGGGUUUGAAAGUCAGGGGGCCCGGACUCAACCCCGGCUCUUCCGCUUCCUGGCUGCAUGACCUGGACCCACUGUUUAACCUCAGCCGGGGUUUCCACAUGAGUCACUGCCACUCUUCAGCCCUGCUCUGAAGGUGAAAUGAGAUGAGGCAUGUCCGUCACCUAAGGCCUUGCGCACAGAGGGGCUCCUUGGUGACAGCUGCUGUUGUUCAUGCUUUGCUGUUGUUCUUGCUCCUUUUGGGGAGAGGAAAGGCGGGGGAGGCAGCUAAAUGCAGGAUGGGCGGCCUGGGACUGCACACACACGACGCUCGAGCCCAGAACCUUGCCCUACCUGGGACGGCAAACACGCGUUUGACUUGCUGGCCCGUUGGGUACUAGAAACUGCCUGGAGAGCUGUGCUGAGAAGGACUGUGAAGCCGCGGCAAGCGUCUGGGUGGCAACCGAACGUCCUGCUUGGUCAUCUUGGGAGCCGUGGGCUCGGAGUUAGACCAGUCGAGCAUUUGCCUUUCCUGCCUCUUUAGUGAUUUAAUACUUCGCGAUUUAAUCCUGACUUUUCCAGGAUUUUCAAGGUGGCUCUUUUAUAAAGCAUGAUUUCUAGUCGGCACCUUGCCGGUGGUCUGUUAGCCUCAACCACGGUGACAUCUACAAGGCCACGGCCCACAGGCGCCCAUUUGAGGAGGGGGUUAGAUGUAUAACGGCGGUGGGGAAAGCAGGCGAGGGGCAAAGAAGCAGCAGGAAAGAAACAGACAGUCACAGGCUAAGGAAGGUGAGCCGGAGGGAGAAAAUGAGAACGUGCGCACUUCUCAGCUGCCGGAGCUCCUGCUGGGCCCGCGCAAGGAACCGCCGAGACGCUGGACCCGGCUGAGCAAACACCGCCACCUGGUGGCCAAGGAGAGUGUGGCUGUCGAGGGGUCAGUUUGGAAAUCACGUAUUUGAAAAACGAGGAAACAGCCCCCAGGUGACUCCAGUGGGCAGCCAAGUUUGAGAGCCAUUGUGUAAGAAACCAUUUUCCACGUUGCUGGGCCUCUUUCGACACAGAAAUAAAAGAGAGAGAAGCACCCGUUCUUACUCCAUCAACAGACAGCUGAGCAGAAUCUUAGAAUCCAGCAGAGCAGCUUUAACAAGCGGAGUAAAUGCUUACAAGACAAUCAAAGGAGCUUCCAUGGACUGUUGGUGUCUUGCAAAGCAGAAUCCUAGUACUCUCAAAUUUCUUAUCCUACAGAAGGAAUUUCCAGAGGAAGACUGGCCCUGAGCUAACAUCUGUGCCCAUCUUCC